rnacentral:rRNA from 1 species
UACGGGGGGAGCAAGCGUUGUUCGGAUUUACUGGGCGUAAAGGGCGCGUAGGCGGCGCGACAAGUCACUUGUGAAAUCUCCGGGCUUAACUCGGAGCGGCCAAGUGAUACUGUCGUGCUAGAGUGCGGAAGGGGCAACUGGAAUUCUCGGUGUAGCGGUGAAAUGCGUAGAUAUCGAGAGGAACACCUGCGGCGAAGGCGGGUUGCUGGGCCGACACUGACGCUGAAGCGCGAAAGCGUGGGGAGCAAACAGG